UUGGAGGGGCCUCUGAGACACUGAGGGGUGACACUGGCUUGCUGGUUGGAUGAAAAGUAACACUGAGCUGCCCAGGCUGAGACACAGUCUGGGGUCCAAGAGCCCUGGUGGCAAUUGGUGAACAUAGCGCUCUGGGCAAGGCCAGCGACUUCAACUUUCUGGAUGUUCAUUUUUUUACCUGCUAAGUGAGGUAGUUGCUGGUGACGUGCUCAGCCAGUGCCAGGCACAGAGUGAGCUGCAGGUAUUGAAUGCAUCCUCCAUAGUAAUGUCAUACUCUGAAGCAGGUACCAUUGGCAUCCCCAUUAUCCAGAUGAGGAAAUGGGGGUGCAAAGCUUGGAUUUUGGCUCUGCUGCCUCUCACAGUGUAGAUGUGAAAUGUGCAGGGGCCUGGGAGAGCCAGAGCCCUGGAACUGCCCUUCGCUACCCAAGUCACUGUGACUUCCUUCCAGAUCCCUGGGGUCCCUUAGGGUCCUGGUUCAAGGGCUCGCUUGGAAGGAAACCAAGAGGCUGUAAUUGUCUACCUCUGGAAACAGUGAAAAGAUGUAAAAUGAAAAUAUUAUCAUGUCAUCAUUUCUUUUCUAUGGAAAUAGUUACUUUCCUUCCCACCCACCCCACCUUCAACUGCUCUAAAUACGUUUUCUUGGGGUUUCCAAACAUCUCUUUUACUUUUGUCCUCCCAGGUGAGAGAGAAGCUGAUUAUGGCCAGAUCUGGCACAGAAAGCCCCUGUUUGUGCAAUCCUGCAUUCUUCCUUUUUAAAUAAAAUUUAAGACCAUCUGAAACGACUUGCCAGCUUGACCUCCCGGCUCUGGUUCUCACUUGAGUUUCUGAAAUGCGUAUGAGUCCAGCCUGCUAAUGUGCUGAAAUGACUGUGCUCACCUUAGGGAAGUGUUAAUGCCUUGAGCAUUUUCCCACCAGUUGUCUUGCAGCUGGUGAGAAAAAUGCGCGCCAACCUCCCCCACGGACUGUGAGGUCACAGCCUUCCCGUCCUUUUCAGGAGCUGCCAUCUCAGCUCUUGAUUCUAAUGGAUGGCAGCCACACUUGAAGAUGCACCAGAGGAAGACGUAGCUGCUCCCCUCUGUGUUCCCAGAUGGGAUGGUGUCCUUGGGAACUGAUCUCAGACAUGUCGUGGUAGCCAGCCUCCAGGAUAGCCCCCAGCAGUCCCACCCCCGGAAUUCACGCGCUUGUGUAGCCCCUCCUACAUUAUAUCACAUAGGUCUGUGUGACCAAUAGAAUCUGCAGAAGUGAUGCCACAGUACUUCCAAGAUUAGGUCAUGAAAGGUCCUGUUGCUUCCCUCUUGGUUUCUUUCCCUCUCCCUCUCCUCUCUCCUUUCUCUUGGACCCUUUGCUCUGGGGAAACCAGCUGCCACAUCACCAUCAGCCUUAUGACCAUGCCACAUGGUGUUCCACAGACAUCCUACAUGCAUGACAUUGAUUCACUCUUACAUUUGACAGGAUUGCAGGAGCUCCUCAGACAAGAUCUGUGGCAACAGUAACAAUAAAAGCAUCCCAUGCGGACCAAA